rnacentral:rRNA from 1 species
AAUCAACGCUGGCGGCGUGCCUAACACAUGCAAGUCGAGCGCGAAAGCGGGGCAACCCGCAAGUAGAGCGGCGAACGGGUGAGUAACGCGUGGGUGAUCUACCUCCGAGUGGGGAACAACAUCGGGAAACUGGUGCUAAUACCGCAUGACAUCCUCAGGUCACACUGAGGAUCAAAGCCGGGGACCGUAAGGCCUGGCGCUUGGAGAGGAGCCCGCGUCCGAUUAGCAGUUGGCGGGGUAACGGCCCACCAAGGCGACGAUCGGUAGCCGGCCUGAGAGGGCGGACGGCCACACUGGGACUGCGACACGGCCCAGACUCCUACGGGAGGCAGCAGUGGGGAAUUUUUCGCAAUGGGCGCAAGCCUGACGAAGCAACGCCGCGUGGGGAUGAAGGUCUUCGGAUUGUAAACCCCUGUCGACCGGGACGAAAGUACCCGACCUAACACGUCGGAAUAUUGACUGUACCGGUGGAGGAAGCCACGGCUAACUCUGUGCCAGCAGCCGC